rnacentral:rRNA from 1 species
CAAUAGCGUAUAUUUAAGUUGUUGCAGUUAAAAAGCUCGUAGUCGGAUUUUGGCUGGGAACGAUCGGUCCGCCGUUAGGUGUGCACUGAUUGGUCUCAGCUUCCUGGUGAGGAGGUGUGCUUCACGGCCACUUAGUCACCGUGGUUACUUUGAAAAAAUUAGAGUGUUCAAAGCGGGCUUACGCUUGAAUAUAUUAGCAUGGAAUAACACCAUAGGACUCCUGUCCUAUUUCGUUGGUCUCGGGACGGGAGUAAUGAUUAAGAGGAACAGUUGGGGGCAUUCGUAUUUCAUUGUCAGAGGUGAAAUUCUUGGAUUUAUGAAAGACGAACUUCUGCGAAAGCAUUUGCCAAGGAUGUUUUCAUUGA